GAUGAAGAACGCAGCGAAAUGCGAUAAGUAAUGUGAAUUGCAGAAUUCAGGGAAUCAUCGAAGCUUUGAACGCACAUUGCGCCCGCCAGUAUUCUGGCGGGCAUGCCUGUUCGAGCGUCAUUUCAACCAUCAAGCCCCCGGGCUUGUGUUGGGGACCUGCGGCUGCCGCAGGCCCUGAAAAGCAGUGGCGGGCUCGCUGUCACACCGAGCGUAGUAGAUUUUAUCUCGCUCAGGGCGUGCUGCGGGUUCCGGCCGUUAAACCACCUUCAUAUCCCAAGGUUGACCUCGGAUCAGGUAGGAAGACCCGCUGAACUUAAGCAUAUCAAUAAGCGGAGGU
rnacentral:misc_RNA from 1 species